rnacentral:rRNA from 1 species
AGCGAACGCUGGCGGCAUGCCUAACACAUGCAAGUCGAACGAACUCUUCGGAAUUUUUGUCGUAUGGGUUUGUAACCCGUCGGAACGUUCCUUUUUGUUCAGAAUAACUCUGGGAAACGUGUGCUAAUACCAAAUGUGCCCUUCUGGGGGAAGAUUUAUGGCCAUUCGAGCGUCCCUCGUCUGAUUCGCUUGUUGUUGAGGUAAUGGCUCAUUACGGCGACGAUCAGUAAAUGGUAUGAGAGGAUGACCAGCCACACUGCGAGUGAGAAACGGCCCAGAAUCCUACGGGAGGGAGGAGUGGGGAAUCUAGCGAAAUGGGGGAAAGGAUGAAGGAGCCAUGACGGGUGAAUGAUGAAGGUAUUAGGAUUGUAAAAUUCUUUUAACGGGGACGAUAAUGACGGUACCCGGAGAAGAAGCCACGGCUAACUUCGUG